GGGCCUCACAAAUUUGGAUGAAGAGGAAAACAGCUGUGAGAUUUAAAUGUAAAAAUAAGCCACAAUCACACAGCUAUAUAGUUGAAGAAGGAGUAUUUUAAUAAUCUUUGGAGAACUGUUGAGUAUCCUUCUUCGACAUUACAACAAAAUUUAAGUGAUUUUCUUAAAAAUUAGUUGUAAUAUGGGAUAUGAAACCAUACGAAUGAAUAUUUUAUACACUUUGAACUGCGUUGGCUAUCUUUACUUUUUAAAAUUUGUGUACACUUAUGGAUACUUUUUAAAAUUUGUAUACAUUUAUGAGUACAAGUAUAAUUUUGUUAUAUAUUGCAUAGUGAUGAAGUCAAGGCAUUUGGUGUACACAUCACUGAAGUAAUGUACAUGGUACCCAUUAAGUAAUUUCUCAUCAUCCACCUCCUUCCCAUGCCCCUCACCCUUUAGAUCCUCCACUAACAUUCCACUCUCUACUUCCAAGUACACACAUUAUUCAGCUCCCUCUUAUAAGUUAGAAUAUGCAGUACUUGUCUUUCUGUGUCUGCGUUGCUUCACUUAAGAAAAUGGCCUCUGGUUGCAUCCACAUUGCUGCAAAAGACAUGAUUUCAUUCUCUUUUAUGUUUAUAUACCACAUUUUCUUUAUCCAAUAGUCUACUGGUGGACACUUAGGUUGAUUCUAUAUCUUUGCUAUUGUGAAUAGUGCUGCAAUAAAUAUACAAGUGCAGGUGCCUUUUUAAUAUAAUGAUUUAUUUUCCUUUAGGUAGGUACCCAGUAGUAGGAUCGUUAGAUAGUAUGGUUGUUCUAUUUUUAGUUCCUUGAGAAAUCUUCAUACCAUUUUCCAUUGAGGUUGUACUAAUUUACAUUUCAUCAACAGUGUAUAAAUGUUCCCAUUUCUCUGCAUCCUUGCAUUGGGCUAUCUUUAAAAUAAAAACAUGAAAGUACUAAAAAAACAAAUAAAUACUUUGAUAAAUUUAGGGAAGAACAUUCCAAACAUGACAAUUAAAAUGGAACCCUUUUAAAUAUGAGGAAACACUUUAAACAAGAGACAAAUAAAAUAUCAGAAAAAAAAUUGCAGCAUAUGUGGCAAAACAGUUGACAUUCUCUGUACAAUAAACCAUUACAAAUUAAUGCAGAAGAAAAUACACAUUCAAAUAGAAACACAGAUAAAGGAUAUGACUGGGCAACUGACCAAAGAAAGAAUUAAAAUGGCAAAUAAACAUUGAAAAUUUUUCAAAUUGAAUAAUAUUCUAUGAAAUACAAGUUGAAACUAUGAGCUACCACUUUUUACUCAGAAUAAACAACAGGUGAAAAGGAAUGACAAUAGUGUGACGGUGUGGAUGUGGAAAAGUAAGAACUGUCAUAUACUCUUUUGGGGACUAUAUUAGUUUCCUAUUGCCACUGUGACAAUUUACCCACAACUUCAUGACUUAAAGCAACACAAAUUUAUUCUCUUACAGUUCCGAAGUCAGAAGUCUAAAAUGGAUGAGCCAGGCUGUUUCUUCUGGAGGCUCCAGAGGAGAAUCCAUUUCCUUACCUUCUCCAGCAUUUAGAGUCGGCUCUGAUUCUUGGCUCCUGACCCCUCCUUUAUCACUCCAACCUGUUUCCCUCUGACUCUGACCCUCCUGCCUCCCUUUUUUAAGAACCCUUGUGACUACACUGGGCCCACCCAGAUAGUAUGGGAUAGUCUCCCCAUCUCAAAAUCCCUAACGUAAUCAUAUUUUCAAAGUUCCUUUUAUAACAUAAGGUAACAUAUUCACAGGUUCUGGGGAUUCAGAUGUGGACAUCUUUGGAGAAGGGGGUUUAUUAUUCAGCCUGUCAUGGGAGUAAACUGGUAUAAACUUUCUGGAGGAAAAUUUGACAAUAUGUAUCAACAUCCUUAUAAGGUACAUAUCUUUGAUCCACUUAUUCAACUUCAGGGAAUUUAUUCUAUCAGUCAAACAAGUGCACAAAGAAUAGGACUUGUCUGCAGCAUUGUUUUAAUAGAAAAAACUUGGAAAUGUUCUAAAUAAAAAGAAAAAAAAUUUUUUUUUGAGCCAAGGUCUUGCUCUGUCACCCAUGCUGGAGUGCAGUUACAUGAUCAUGGCUUGCUGCAGCUUUGAUCUCCUGAGUUCAAGCAAUUCUCCUUGCCUCAGCCUCCAGAGUAGCUGAAACUGCAGGUGAGCACCAUCAUGUCCAGUUGUUUUAAUUUUUUGUAGAGACGGGGUCUCACUAUGUUGCUAGUGACUAGGCUGGUCUCGAACUCUUAGGCUCAAGUAAUCUGCCCACCUUGGCCUCCCAAAGUGCUGGGAUUACAGAUGUGAGCCACUGUACUCAGCCCAAAGCAAAAUUUUGGUUAAAUAUAUUAUACUUCAUUAAAAUAAUAGAAUAUCAUAUAGCCAUUACUAAUGAUUUUCCAUAUUUGUUGAUAUGGAAACUCUCCAUUGUUAAAUGAAAGUUCCAGGUAGCAAAAGAGUUUACGUAGUAUGAUUCCAUUCUGAUAAAUAUCAAAAUUUAAAUCUAAAUAUAUAUUAAUUUAAAUCUAAUUAAUUAAUUUAAAUCUAAAUAUCAGAAUUUAAAUCUAAAUGUAGAUUUGUGUAGAUUUGUGCAUAUAUAUAUAUAUAUUGCAUAAUAAAUAAGCAAGGCUAUGCACAAAACUUCCAGUGCAAAAUAUUGCUGAGUGAAAUAUUGCUGAGUGACUUUUCCUUUCUCUUGUGGAAAUUGUGAGAAUUGACUAGGAAUAUGUGAGAAGAUGAAGGUUUAGCCGAGUUCACAGGCCAUGAAUCUGCAGUGAAGAGCAAGCGAAAGCAAGAUCCUGGAAGAUACUGGCAAGUGGCCGGAUCACAGAAUCCAGCAAUCAAGGAGAGAGAAUUGUGUAUUAAUUUAAUUGUUUGGCCUUUAGAAUCAUGUUCCUUAGAGGGCAUCGGUGCGACGGCUUCACCAUUCUGCACAUCCACCUGAGUUUUAAAACACGGUUUCUACUAAACAUCUGGUAUCUUGUAUACAGGGGAUGAAUGUGGUCUUGUUUCCUUCUUUAGCUGCUGGAAACCUUAGAGCAAAAAAUAAGGCCACUUUUGUAACUGUGUCUGACUCAGCAGCAUAACUUUUCCGUUGUCUUCCAUGUGCUAUCCUGUUUUUAUUUUUCCUUUCCCUUGAUUGCUCUCUAUACAUACAUUUUUGAGAAGUUGUUUUUCUUUAUUUUUCAAACUAAUUCAUUCAAUACUCUCCUCCAGGUAGAGUUUAUAAUUGUUUGUAGUUGAGAAAAUUGGACUAGAAUGAAGCCUUGUGGAAUCCAAGAAGAAUUCGUUAUUCUUUAGCUGCUUUCAUCUCCAACUGUGUUAGGCAUCCUCCUAAGAUGGUCCCCAAGAUGGCAGACCCCUGGAAUCAUCUGUACAAUUUCCUCUCUUUUCACAGGCUUUUAUGAGUUGAUUUUUCAGCGAACCUUCAAGGGGCUAAGGGGAACAUUACCCUUGGCCACUAUACUGCCAACAACCUAUGAGCCUGGAAGAGGAUCCCAAGUCUCAGAUGAAACCAGGACCUCAGCCAACACCUUGAUUUCAGCCUCAUGAGAUCCUAAGCAGAGGGUACAGUAAAGCCACAUAUGGUGCCUAACCAAAAAAACUAUGAGAUAAUAAAGAUGUGUUUUGGAAGCUGCUAAACUGGUGUUGAUUUGUUACAUAGCAAUUAAAAACUAAUAUACAAACACUACGGUAUUUGUUUUCUUCAUUAAUUAAACAUAACGUAUCCUCACUUCUGUAUCCAUCAGUAAGGCAAGGUUCUGUGAUAAAGACCUGCCUGCAUUGUACGUCUGUAUGGUUCCUUUCCCUAUCCCAAAUCUUAGAUGCAUAUUUUGAUUGAUGAUGAUUGUCCUUGAUCUAAGAGAUGAUGUGAUAUCCUGCUACCCCAUUCUUCAACCCCCUCAGACACUGGGAUCAUUGUAGAAUGAUUCAUAACAUUCCCUGGGACCCCAACACAUGGUGUUCUAACGUUUCUCAGUCUACAAUACAGUAGUCCCUAAAUCACAUGACAACUUUUCCUAUUGUAGAAAAAGUGCACGCAGAGGCGAUGUGGUGGCUGAUCUGCGGCAGCAGAUGAGGUCCUGUAUUCUGCUCCUGCCCCACACUGACCAGAUGCCCAUUUAGACAAGGUUUCCCCUGCUUCCACUCAUAGACACAGUUAUCUCUCAGACUCAAGGUGGCCUCCAAGUCCUUAGCAUCCACUUCUUGUAGAAGCAGUGCCUUCCCCUUUGCAGGCCAGUGACUUUUUUUAGAUUCUCAAACACAAAGUGACUGAUCAUUCACCUUUUCCUUGGCCUGAUUGACUAUAGGAAUACCAGAAUGGUGGUGGAGAGGGGUAAGGAGUUGGUGUAAUGUUUCACACCUCAAAGGUAUUCACCAACACUAGGUCACAAGCUCUAUCUCUCUCUCUUUCUCACACACACACACACACACACACACACACACACACAUUCUCUGGAAGGUCAUCUCAUCACAGAUUUACAGCCCUGUAAUCACCCUUGAAUGAACCUCUUCGGGAGGUGCUUGGGAAAGCAAGGAGAGAAGACAGCUUGCUCAUUCUGUCACAUGCAUUAUUGGAUUUGGGCAAUUAUUUUAAUCCCCAUAGUAGAAACUUGCUCAUAUUUCCAUAUUGGUACAAACUCUUCAGUCUACUUAAGUGGAUAUCCAAGGAACUAUUUAAUUUCCAACUUAAUAGUAUCAUGGGGAAAAAAGACAAUAACAAAACAAUUUUGAGUCAAAUAAAUGGUCUCAUAUGAAUGGCAUCUGCAAUACCUUCAACAACUAGGCAGAAGAUAUAUGAUGCUAUCAUAGUUUUCUUUUAAAAAAUCACCAAAGCAGUUUCAUCUUUAACACCCUACCUAAGAUUUCUAAAUGAUAGCCUAUCAAAUUAUAUCCCCAUUAGGUAUAUAAUAGCUCCUUUCUUACCUUAGAUAAAUAUAUUCUUGUUUCACAAGUUUUUUUAAAAGGCUUUGCUUGAAAUUAAAAUCUGACCAACAAACUAGAGCAGAGAUAAUUCCUCAGUGUCAAUAGGCUUCCUUGGAAACUUACCCACAUAUAACCAAUGCAGCUUCACUCGUGUAUAGAAUAUACUGACAGAGAAAAAGAAAAUACAGAUGACAUUACAAUCAUAAACACCCUAUUUCCUGUUUUUAAAAAAACAUGUCUUCAGAAGUGCUUUUUUUACAAAAAUUUAUUUUAAGUUCUGGGAUACACGUGCAGAAUGUGCAGAUUUGUUCCAUAGGUAUACAUGUGCCAUGGUGGUUUGCUGCACCCAUCAACCUGUCAUCUAGGUUUUAAGCCACGCAUAGAUUAGGUGUUUGUCCUAAUGCUCUCCCUCCCCUUUCCCCCAACCCCCGACAGGCCCCAGUGUGUGAUGUUCUCCUCCCUGUGUUCAUAUGUUCUCAUUGUUCAACUCCCACUUCUGAGUGAGAACAUGUGGUGUUUGGUUUUCUGUUUCUGUGUUAGUUUGCUGAGAAUGAUGGCUUCCAGCUUCAUCCAUGUCCCUUCAAAGGACAUGAACUCAUCCUUUUUUAUGGCUGCAUAGUAUUCCAUGGUGUGCAUGUGCCACAUUUUCGUUAUCCAAUCUGUCAUUGACGGGCAUUUGGGUUGGUUCCAGGUCUUUGCUAUUGUAAAUAGUGCUGCAAUAAAAAUACAUGCACAUGUGUCUUUAUAGUAGAGUAAUUUAUAUUCCUUUGGGUAUAUACCAAGUAAUGGGAUUGCUGGGUCAAAUGGUAUUUCUGGUUCUAUAUCCUUGGGGAAUCGCCACACUGUCUUCCACAAUGGUUGAACUAAUUUACACUCCCACCAACAGUGUAAAAGUGUUCCUAUUUCUCCACAGCCUCGCUAGCAGCUGUUGUUUCCUGACUUUUUAAUAAUCACCAUUCUAACUGGCAUGAGAUGGUAUCUCAUUGUGGUUUUGAUUUGCAUUUCUCUAAUGACCAGUGAUGAUGAGCUUUUUUCAUUUGUUUGUUGGCCACAUAAAUGUCUUCUUUUGAGAAGUGCCUGUUCAUAUCCUUCACCCAAUUUUUGAUGGGAUUUCUCAUUUGUUCUUUUUUUCCUGUAAAUUUGUUUAAGUUCCUUGUAGAUUCUGGAUAUUAGACCUUUAUCAGUUGGGUAGACUGCAAAAAUUUUCUCCCAUUCUGUAGGUUGCCUGUUCACUUUAAUGAUAGUUUCUUUUGCUGUGCAGAAGCUCUUUAGUUUAUUUAGAUCCCAUUUGUUAAUUUUGGCUUUUGUCACAAUUGCUUUUUGUGUUUUAGUCAUGAAGUCUUUCCCCAUGCCUAUGUCCUAAAUGGUAUUGCCUAGGUUUUCUUCUAGGGUUUUUAUGGUUUUGGGUUUUACAAUUAAUUCUUUAAUCCAUCCUGAGUUAAUUUUUGUAUAAGGUGUAAGGAAGGGGUCCAGGUUCAGUUUUCUGCAUAUGACUAGCCAGUUUUCCAAACACCAUUUAUUAAAUAAGGAAUACUUUCCCCAUUGCUUGUUUUUGUCAGGUUCGCCGAAGAUUGGAUGGUUGUAGAUGUGUGGUGUUAUUUCUGAGGUCUCUGUUCUGUUCCAUUGUUCUAUAUAUCUGUGUUGGUACCAGUACCAUGCUGUUUUGGCUACUGUAGCCUUGUAGUAUAGCAUGAGGUCAGGUAGCAUGAUGCCUCCAGCUUUGUUAUUUUUGCUUAGGAUUGUCUUGGCUAAACUGACUCUUUUUCGGCUCCAUAUGAAAUUUAAAGUAGCUUUUUUCUAAUUCUGCAAAGAAAGUCGAUGGUAGCUUGAUGGGAAUAGCAUUGAAUCUAUAAAUUACUUUGAGCAGUAUGGCCAUUUUCAUGAUAUUGAUUCUUUCUAUCCAUGAAUAUGGAAUUUUUUUCCAUUUGUUUGUGUGCUCUCUUAUUUCCUUGAGCAGUGAUUUGUAGUUCUCCUUGAAAAGGUCACUCAUGUCCCUUGUAAGUUGUAUUCCUACAUAUUAUAUUCUCUUUGUAGCAAUUUUGACGUGAGUUCACUCAAAAUUUGGCUCUCUGCUUGUCUACUAUUGGUGUAUAGGAAUGCUUGUCAUUUUUGCACAUUGAUUUUUUAUCCUGAGACUUUGCUAAAGUUGCUUAUCAGCUUAAGGAGUUUUGGGGCUGAGACAAUAGGGUUUUCUAAAUAUACUAUCAUGUCAUCUGCAAAGAGAGACAAUUUGACUUCCUGUCUUCCUGUUUGAAUACGCUUUAUUUCUUUCUCUUGCCUGAUUGCCCUGGCCAGAACUUCCAAUAUUAUGUUGAAUAAGAGUGGUGAGAGAGGGCAUCCUUGUCUUCUGCUGGUUUUCAAAGGGAAUGCUUCCAGCUUUUGCCCAUUCAGUAUGAUAUAGGCUGUGGGUUUGUCAUAAAUAGCUCUUAUUAUUUUGAGAUACGUUCCAUCGAUACUUAGUUUAUUGAGAGUUUUUAGCAUGAAGGGAUGUUGAAUUUCAUCAAAGGCCUUUUCUGCAUCUAUGAGAUAAUCUUGUGGUUUUUGUCAUUGGUUCUGUUUAUGUGAUGCAUUAUGUUUACUGAUUAGCAUAUGUUGAACCAGCCUUGCAUCUCAGGGAUGAAGCCGACUUGAUCGUGGUGGAUAAGCUUUUUGAUGUGCUGCUCGAUUCAGUUUGCCAGUAUUUUACUGAGGAUUUUCACAUCAAUGUUCAUCAGGGAUAUUGGCCUGAAAUUUUCUUUUUUUGUUGCAUCUCUGCCAGGUUUUGGUAUCAGGAUGACGCUGGCCUCAUAAAAUGAGUUAGGGAGGAAUCUCUCUUUUUCUAUUGUUUGGAAUAGUUUCAGAAGGAAUGGUACAAGCUCCUCUUAGUACCUCUGGUAGAAUUUGGCUAUGAAUCCGUCUGGUACUGGGCUUUUUUGUUGUUGUUGGUGGUGGUGGUGGAGGUGGUAGGCUAUUAAUUACUGCCUCAAUUUCAGAACUUGUUACUGAUCUAUUCAAAGAUUCAACUUCUUCCUGAUUUAGUCUUUGGAGGUUGUGUGUGUCCAGGAAUUUAUCUAUUUCCUCUAGAUUUUCUAGUUUAUUUGCACAUAGGUGUUUAUAGUAUUCUCUGAUGGUAGUUUGUAUUUCUGUGGCAUCAGUGGUGAUAUCCCCUUUAUCAUUUUUUAUUGUGUAUAUUUGAUUCUUCUCUCUUUUCUUCUUUAUUAGUCUAGCUAGCAGUCUAACUAUUUUGUUAAUCUUUUCAAAUCCCCAGCUCCUGGAUUCAUUGAUUUUUUAGAAGGGUUUUUGUGUCUCUAUCUCCUUCAGUUCUGCUCUGAUCUUAGUUAUUUCUUGUACUCUGCUAGCUUUUGAAUUUGUUUGCUCUUGCUUCUCUAGUUCUUUUAAUUGUGAUGUUACGGUGUCAAUUUCAGUUCUUUCCAGCUUUCUGAUGUGGGCAUUUAGUGCUAUAUAUUUCCCCCUUAACACUGGUUUAGCUGUGUCCCAGAGAUUCUGGUACAUUGUCUCUUUGUUCUCAUUAGUUUCAGAAAACUUCUUUAUUUCUGUCUUAAUUUUGUUAUUUACCCAGUAGUCAUUCAGGAGCAAGUUGUUUCAAUUUCCAUGUAGUUGUGCAGUUUUGACUGAGUUUCUUAAUCCUGAGUUCUAAUUUGAUUGCACUGUGGUCUGAGAGACUGUUAUGAUUUCCAUUCUUUUGCAUUUGCUAAGGAGUGUUUUACUUCCAAUUAUGUGGUCAAUUUUAUAAAGUGCUAUGUGGCACUAAGAAAAAUGUAUAUUGUGUUGAUUUGGGGUGGAGAGUUCUGUAGAUGUCUAUUAGGUCCACUUGGUCCAGAGCUGAGUUUGAGUCCUGAAUAUCCUUGUUAAUUUUUCUUCAUUAAUUAAUUGAUCUGUUCAUUGAUCUAAUAUUGACAGUGGGGUGUUAAAGUCCCCCAUUACAUUACAACUGUGUGGGAGUAUAAGUCUCUUUGUAG
rnacentral:lncRNA from 1 species